UGGCGUAGUCCAGUAGGUAGAACAACGGACUCAUAUUCCGUAUGUCAUAGGUUCGAUCCCUAUCGCC
rnacentral:tRNA from 1 species